rnacentral:rRNA from 1 species
AACGAACGCUGGCGGCAGGCCUAACACAUGCAAGUCGAACGCCCCGCAAGGGGAGUGGCAGACGGGUGAGUAACACGUGGGAACGUGCCCUAAGGUUCGGAAUAUUCCCGGGAAACUGGGAGCAAUACCGAAUGUGACCGCAAGGUGAAAGAUUUAUCGCCUUAGGAUCGGCCCGCGUCGGAUUAGCUAGUUGGUGGGGUAAAAGCCUACCAAGGCGACGAUCCGUAGCUGGUCUGAGAGGACGACCAGCCACACUGGGACUGAGACACGGCCCAGACUCCUACGGGAGGCAGCAGUGGGGAAUCUUGGACAAUGGGCGCAAGCCUGAUCCAGCCAUGCCGCGUGGAUGAUGAAGGCCCUAGGGUUGUAAAAUCCUUUCGUCAGGGACGAUAAUGACGGUACCUGAAGAAGAAGCCCCGGCUAACUUCGUGCCAGCAGCCGCGGUAAUACGAAGGGGGCUAGCGUUGUUCGGAUUUACUGGGCGUAAAGCGCGUGUAGGCGGGCUUGCAAGUUGGGGGUGAAAUCCCG